rnacentral:rRNA from 1 species
GACGUAGGGGGCCAGCGUUGUUCGGAAUUACUGGGCGUAAAGCGUGCGCAGGCGGUUUUGUAAGUCUGUCGUGAAAGCCCCGGGCUCAACCUGGGAAUUGCGAUGGAGACUGCAAGGCUUGAAUCUGGCAGAGGGGGGUAGAAUUCCACGUGUAGCAGUGAAAUGCGUAGAGAUGUGGAGGAACACCGAUGGCGAAGGCAGCCCCCUGGGUCAAGAUUGACGCUCAUGCACGAAAGCGUGGGGAGCAAACAGG